rnacentral:rRNA from 1 species
GUGAAAUAGAACCUGAAACCGUAUACGUACAAGCAGUGGGAGCCCUUCGGGGUGACUGCGUACCUUUGUAUAAUGGGUCAGCGACUUACUUCUCAGUGGCAAGCUUAACCAAUUAGGGGAGGCGUAGCGAAAGCGAGUCUGAACAGGGCGUUCAGUCGCUGGGAGUAGACCCGAAACCGAGCGAUCUAUCCAUGGCCAGGUUGAAGGUGGGGUAACACCUACUGGAGGACCGAACCCACGUAUGUUGAAAAAUGCAGGGAUGAGCUGUGGAUAGGAGUGAAAGGCUAAUCAAGCUCGGAGAUAGCUGGUUCUCCUCGAAAGCUAUUUAGGUAGCGCCUCGUGUAUAACUCUAGGGGGUAGAGCACUGUUAUGGCUAGGGGGUCAUCC